rnacentral:sRNA from 1 species
AGUUUAGCUUGUAUUAUAAGCUCUCCAAUGACCAAUGGAGAUGCGGGGCAAGGGGAUUCAGCGGAUCUAGCUGUUAAUGCCACUGAUUUGUGGUGACCAAUAUGGAUUUUCUUUCUGUCGUUUGUUUCAAGGCACUAGAAGGAGACUUUUGGUCCACUGUCCAGGGGUCUAUGGAGACUAAUAUUAGCAAGACAUCUACAAAAGGAGGCCCAAGCUCAACACAAUAAUUCUGAAUUCACAGAAGAACAAAAGAAAACCAUAGGCAAAAUUGCAACAUGCUUGGAAUUGCGAAGUGCAGCUUUACAGUCCACACAGUCUCAAGAAGAAUUUAAACUGGAGGACCUGAAGAAGCUAGAACCAAUCCUAAAGAAUAUUCUUACAUAUAAUAAAGAAUUCCCAUUUGAUGUUCAGCCUGUCCCAUUAAGAAGAAUUUUGGCACCUGGUGAAGAAGAGAAUUUGGAAUUUGAAGAAGAUGAAGAAGAGGGUGGUGCUGGAGCAGGGUCUCCUGAUUCUUUUCCUGCUAGAGUUCCCGGUACUUUAUUACCAAGGUUGCCAUCGGAACCAGGAAUGACAUUACUCACUAUCAGAAUUGAGAAAAUUGGUUUGAAAGAUGCUGGGCAGUGCAUCGAUCCCUAUAUUACAGUUAGUGUAAAGGAUCUGAAUGGCAUAGACUUAACUCCUGUGCAAGAUACUCCUGUGGCUUCAAGAAAAGAAGAU